CCAAUCUGCCAUUAAAGCUCCUUAUUGACUAAACACAUCUGAUCCAGGUAAUUGGAAGCAGAUGAGGCAGGAUUUCUGAAAAACCAGCAGGAGGUCGGCCUCCGAGGCCUGGAGUUUGACACCCCUGCUUUAGAC
ensembl:snoRNA SNORA62 Small nucleolar RNA SNORA62/SNORA6 family